UACGGGGGGAGCAAGCGUUGUUCGGAUUUACUGGGCGUAAAGGGCGCGUAGGCGGCGCAACAAGUCACUUGUGAAAUCUCCGGGCUUAACCCGGAGCGGCCAAGUGAUACUGUCGUGCUAGAGUGCGGAAGGGGCUACUGGAAUUCUCGGUGUAGCGGUGAAAUGCGUAGAUAUCGAGAGGACCACCUGCGGCGAAGGCGGGUAGCUGGGCCGACACUGACGCUGAGGCGCGAAAGCCAGGGGAGCGAACGGG
rnacentral:rRNA from 1 species